UUGGUUAAGAAGGAACUACAGAUGCUGGAAUAUCGAAGGUACACAAAAUUGCUGGGGAAACUCAGCGGGUGCAGCAGCAUCUAUGGAGCGAAGGAAAUAGGCGACGUUUCGGGCCGAAACCCUUCUUCAGAC